CUGGCAACCAUGAAGGGACCAAGGUCUUGUGGCCGCCUCCCCAAGGCAUUGUAGCCCCCGGUGGGGUGUGGGUCCCCACCACCAAUCCUAAGUAGCCACUUAGAUCAAAUUUCUUUAAAGGCUCGGCUGUUGGGUUCCUGUUCUUCUGCCGUGGCGAUCCAGGCUCCUUGGUGCUUCUUUCACUUUUGUGAAGAGAAACUGCUUCUGGAUCAAGACAUCUCUGGGCUCUGGGUAGAAGAGGUGACAAAGCUUUUCUCAUAAAGAAAUAGAUGAGAUUAAAUAAAUCUGCUAACACACAUCCUGGGACAACUAUCUCACUUCUGAAUUCUGCUUCUAAGUGCAAAUCUGAUCAUAUCACACCACCACCUAAAACACUCCAGAGAUGCCCAGCAUACUGACG
rnacentral:lncRNA from 1 species